UAUCACAUUUUACAUUGAGAAAUCAUUGGCUGUAAAGAUGCCUCCUCGGUAUAUCGGCUAUUGUGACCUUAGGCCAGUAAAACUAAGAGUGGUUAAAAUUUUUAAAAGCUUGCUGACAAUUAGGAAGAACAUUAAACACUUUUAGUAGUUUUCUGAGCAACAAGAAAUAUUUAUGGCCCAUUACUGAAAUUCUAAUGGCUACAACCAGGAAAUAUUUCUAAAAGAGGGUUAAUGGCACUAGAGAAAAUGGAAAAAAAUGAAGAUAAGAAGAAAAGAAAAAAGAUAAACUUCUGCACAAAAGAUAGAAAAGGACAGACUGACAUCUUGGAGUACUUCACAUCAGAAAAGAUAAAGAAAAAAUAUUCAGUGCUACACUCAUCAGUUCAUUACAAACAAAACAUACAAAUGGAAAAAAGUUUACUUCAAUAUAUUGUGGUAGGCAGGAAAAAUUCACAUAUAACCAGAGUAAGAUACAUAGAAAGAAAUAAAUAAAGAAAAAGGGAAGAAGAAAAAGGGUAAAUGAAAAAGGGAGAAAGAAAAAGAUAAGAGAAACAUGAGCUUAUAAACAAGAAGAAAAUAUACCCA